rnacentral:rRNA from 1 species
UCCAACCCAUGUGAACGUUACCAAACUGUUGCCUCGGCGGGAUCUCUGCCCCGGGUGCGUCGCAGCCCCGGACCAAGGCGCCCGCCGGAGGACCAACCAAAACUCUUAUUGUAUACCCCCUCGCGGGUUUUUUUAUAAUCUGAGCCUUCUCGGCGCCUCUCGUAGGCGUUUCGAAAAUGAAUCAAAACUUUCAACAACGGAUCUCUUGGUUCUGGCAUCGAUGAAGAACGCAGCGAAAUGCGAUAAGUAAUGUGAAUUGCAGAAUUCAGUGAAUCAUCGAAUCUUUGAACGCACAUUGCGCCCGCCAGUAUUCUGGCGGGCAUGCCUGUCCGAGCGUCAUUUCAACCCUCGAACCCCUCCGGGGGGUCGGCGUUGGGGAUCGGCCCUCCCUUAGCGGGUGGCCGUCUCCGAAAUACAGUGGCGGUCUCGCCGCAGCCUCUCCUGCGCAGUAGUUUGCACACUCGCAUCGGGAGCGCGGCGCGUCCACAGCCGUUAAACACCCAACUUCUGAAAUGUUGACCUCGGAUCAGGUAGGAAUACCCGCUGAACUUAAGCAUAUCAAUA